AACGAACGCUAGCGGCAGGCUUAACACAUGCAAGUCGAACGGGCGUAGCAAUACGUCAGUGGCAGACGGGUGAGUAACACGUGGGAACCUUCCUAGGGGUACGGAACAACUCAGGGAAACUUGAGCUAAUACCGUAUACGUCCGAGAGGAGAAAGAUUUAUCGCCCUUAGACGGGCCCGCGUCGGAUUAGGUAGUUGGUGGGGUAACGGCCUACCAAGCCGACGAUCCGUAGCUGAUCUGAGAGGAUGAUCAGCCACACUGGGACUGAGACACGGCCCAGACUCCUACGGGAGGCAGCAGUGGGGAAUCUUGGACAAUGGGCGCAAGCCUGAUCCAGCCAUGCCGCGUGAGUGAAGAAGGCCUUAGGGUUGUAAAGCUCUUUUGGCAGGGACGAUAAUGACGGUACCUGCAGAAUAAGCCCCGGCAAACUCCGUGCCAGCCGCCGCCGUAACAC
rnacentral:rRNA from 1 species